rnacentral:rRNA from 1 species
UACGUAGGGGGCGAGCGUUGUCCGGAAUUAUUGGGCGUAAAGAGCGCGCAGGCGGCUUGGCAAGUCGGGUGUGAAAUCCCGGGGCUCAACCCCGGGACUGCAUUCGAUACUGUCAGGCUAGAGGUAGGUAGGGGAGAUCGGAAUUCCUGGUGUAGCGGUGAAAUGCGCAGAUAUCAGGAGGAACACCGGUGGCGAAGGCGGAUCUCUGGGCCUUACCUGACGCUCAGGCGCGAAAGCUAGGGGAGCGAACAGG